AACCCCAGGAGCUAAACCCCAGUGGAAGGACAGGUGUGGCAGACAAGGAAGACUGGGGGCAGAAUUCGGAUGGAUGUGUGGGACAUGCACUGCUGAUUCACAGAUUGCUGUCAGCAGCAGUGGAGGAAUGUGAAACUCCAUAGAGAACAGGUCAAGAUAUGAGGCUCAUGGUCCAAGAGCACUCACACCACCCAGGAGAACAGGCUAGACAGCUCAUGGUCUUGGAUCCGGAAUCUACACAAAAACCCCCAUGUACCUACACCCGACUUGAAACCCACGGACGGGAGUUGCAGGUGCUGAGAACUUAAAAACAGCGAGGGAAAGCCGAAUCAAAGCUCUCUGGAAACGGCACUCACUGACUGCCCUUUACCUCCAGUGAAGUUCACAGAACCCCACAGGGCUGCAUUACAGGCAAUACUUAACUCUAAUUACUGUUGUGCAAAAAGAACUCAGGUGCGGGUUAUGGCAUAAGCCGCCCAGUCAGUCUGAAAAGUAAUUAGGGCAGAUGUUCAUUAGGAACUUCCUAAUGAAUCUGUUAACUUCGUUACCUGACUCCAGUAAACUUUCUUACAGGUACACAAGGCAAUUUACUAGAAAGCGCGCGGGGAGACGCAGCGAGCAGCAGCCGGGGAAGAGAACAGGGGGGUAAAAAAUAAAUAAAUUCAGCAAAAAG